rnacentral:misc_RNA from 1 species
CGUUACUGUGACUUGACGCAGGUGGGCGGUCCACUCGAUUCCAAGAGCUACGGCAUCGCCCUUCCGCCAGAGUGACGAGUCGAAGAGCUCCUCCAAGGCCAAUGCACUCGGCCUGAACAACGUGGGCGGCGUGUUCGUGGUGCUGCUGGCCGGCAUGGGUCUCGCCUCGGUGGUCGCCGUGUGUGAGUUUGUGUGGAAGU